GGGGUUAUAGCUCAGCUGGGAGAGCGCCUGCCUUGCACGCAGGAGGUCUGCGGUUCGAUCCCGCAUA
rnacentral:tRNA from 5 species